rnacentral:piRNA from 1 species
UAAAGAGAGGACUCAAUACAGCGGAAA